rnacentral:lncRNA from 1 species
CUGUCGGAAAAAAUCCUAGUCAUUCUGUGCACCAUCAAACACCUUUUGAAUCUUGUAAUACUCAAGAUGAUAUGCUACUUUGUCCUGCAUUUUUCAUAUUCCCUGCAAUUUGAGAAUCCUGCAAAUCAACCUCACCGAGUUCUGAGUUCAAAACUUCAAAUUCAGACUUGAACUACGCAACGAAGCCUGCACGAGAAAUUUAGUAGAAACCGAGGGGCUGGCAUGCAAAAUUCACAAAUUUGUUUCCCUUCCUGCCCUUCCCUUACCUCUCGUUCUCCGCCUCCGGAGGAGACCAGCUCUGCGCCCGCCGGAGAAGUAGCAGCAGCUAGCCAAGCCCUCUCUCUCACCCC